rnacentral:rRNA from 1 species
GAUGAACGCUGGCGGCGCGCCUAACACAUGCAAGUCGAACGGCACCCCUCUCCGGAGGGAAGCGAGUGGCGAACGGCUGAGUAACACGUGGAGAACCUGCCCCCUCCCCCGGGAUAGCCGCCCGAAAGGACGGGUAAUACCGGAUACCCCCGGGCGCCGCAUGGCGCCCGGGCUAAAGCCCCGACGGGAGGGGAUGGCUCCGCGGCCCAUCAGGUAGACGGCGGGGUGACGGCCCACCGUGCCGACAACGGGUAGCCGGGUUGAGAGACCGACCGGCCAGAUUGGGACUGAGACACGGCCCAGACUCCUACGGGAGGCAGCAGUGGGGAAUCUUGCGCAAUGGGGGGAACCCUGACGCAGCGACGCCGCGUGCGGGACGGAGGCCUUCGGGUCGUAAACCGCUUUCAGCAGGGAAGAGUCAAGACUGU